GUAGCACCAGUUGCCCUACAGUGCUUUAAGGGUUGACUUGGUGAGAAGAGUUCUCACUGCUGCUGAAAUAGGUCAGACCAGCUUUAUAAAGCAUCACAGACCCAGCCAGACCUGCAUCCUCCAGUGUGGGCAUCAGAAAGGGAUUAAAUGUGCUGCAGUGUCCUGGCACGUUGUGCCCUGAGAGCCCUGCCACCAAAAUGCAUGCAAGUGACACCAGUUUGUGAGCGAGGACGUGGUCACAGAGCUCAAGUUGUCUCUCAGAGACUGCUCCCCCAUAACAAUUGUAUUUCCUCUGCUGCGGUGGUUGGAAGAAGUGACAAUAGGAUCUUCUCACGAGCCAGCAGGAUGAGGAAGUGGGCAGAGAUUUCAGAAAUGUGCCAGCUGUCAGGGUGAGGAGCGUGGGCCUCCCCCAGCACCAGGGAUCUCCAUCCACAGGGAUCCAUGCUCCCUGAACGAGUCUUGGAUAGCAGACACGACCUUGUGCACCUCAUCCCUUCAGGGAAGAGGGUGUUGAGGGCUCAGGGCACAACAGAGCCACGACAUGGGACAGCAACAUGCAGGGCAUCGAGAUUAACCCCAGCAAUCACAGUAAUAAAAACAGCAAAUCACAACUCUCAGCUCUGUCCUUUGAAAGCAACCCCAGUGACAGCCCUGGUCCUGAGCCCUUGUAAGACACAGAUCCCAGGAAACCACCCUUAAUGCUGCCAGAAUCAGCUUCAUCUCAUCACCCCAGGACUCCAUCUGGGGGCUUUGUGGAAGCUAACUGCUCCCCCCGUUUCAGGCUGGUGCUACCCCAUGCUAGUUGAUGCUGCUUCAUGCUCUGUCAUACACGGCUGUAAUGGUUAAAUCUGCUCUGCACCCUCAGAUUUUUUUUCAACAAGUUCAAACAUUCUCAGAAGCAGAAAACCAAAGGGACAUUCCAGUGGAACAGCACUAGCAGGAGGAGCUUCCCUCACUGCUGCUCCCAGGACCCACAGCACUCAUUUUUCCCUGCCUGCACAAUGCUUCUUUGUCUGCCCAUGCACUCAAGGCGAGAGGAAUCAG
ensembl:lncRNA